rnacentral:rRNA from 1 species
CGGGACGGGUGAGUAACGCGUGGGUAACCUGCCUCACACAGGGGGAUAACAGUUAGAAAUGACUGCUAAUACCGCAUAACCCGAUAGGAUCGCAUGAUCCAGACGGAAAAGAUUUAUCGGUGUGAGAUGGACCCGCGUCUGAUUAGCUAGUUGGUGAGGUAACGGCCCACCAAGGCGACGAUCAGUAGCCGGCCUGAGAGGGUGAACGGCCACAUUGGGACUGAGACACGGCCCAA